GACGAACGCUGGCGGCGUGCUUAACACAUGCAAGUCGAACGGUAAGGCCCUUCGGGGUACACGAGUGGCGAACGGGUGAGUAACACGUGGGUGAUCUGCCCUGCACUUCGGGACAAGCCUGGGAAACUGGGUCUAAUACCGGAUAGGACCACUGCCUGCAUGGGUGGUGGUGGAAAGCUUUUGCGGUGUAGGAUGGGCCCGCGGCCGAUCAGCUUGUUGGUGGGGUGAUGGCCUACCAUGGCGACGACGGGUAGCCGGCCUGAGAGGGUGACCGGCCACACUGGGACUGAGAUACGGCCCAGACUCCUACGGGAGGCAGCAGUGGGGAAUAUUGCACAAUGGGCGCAAGCCUGAUGCAGCGACGCCGCGUGAGGGAUGACGGCCUUCGGGUUGUAAACCUCUUUCAGCACCGACGAAGCGCAAGUGACGGUAGGUGCAGAAGAAGGACCGGCCAACUACGUGCCAGCAGCCGCGGUAA
rnacentral:rRNA from 1 species